AGAAGGAGAACAAUUUUAUUCUAAAAAUAGAACUUGGUAACAAUGAAAUACCAAAAGCUGGUCAUUAUAAUAAAAAGAAAAGAAGAGUUUAACUUUUUUUUUGUGAAAAUACAAAAUUAUCACUAUAAUAUACUGCCAACUCUGUUUAUCUGUAUUUGAAUUAUUCCUUUCAUGGAUUAUUCAAGGAAAUUUUAAAAUUGGCUUCUGCCUAGUACU
rnacentral:lncRNA from 10 species